rnacentral:rRNA from 1 species
GACGAACGCUGGCGGCGUGCCUAAUACAUGCAAGUAGAACGCAGUUGCGAACGGGUGAGUUACGCGUAGGUAACUGCCUGGUAGCGGGGGAUAUCUAUUGGAAACGAUAGCUACUACCGCAUACUACCAGAUGGACCUGCGUUGUAUUAGCUAGUUGGUGGGGUAACGGCUCACCAAGGCAACGGUACAUAGCCGGCCUGGGAGGGUGAUCGGCCACAAUGGGACUGAGGCACGGCCCAGACUCCUACGGGAGGGAGCAGUAGGGGAUCUUCGGCAAUGGACGGAAGUCUGACCAAGCAACGCCGCGUGAGUGAAGAAGGUUUUCGGAUCGUAAAGCUCUGUUGUAAGAGAAGCGGUAUCUUACCAGAAAGGGACGGCUAACUACGUGCCAGCCGCCGCGGUAAUUC